CACCCCAGCGAAAGAAACGGCCUGCGUGGCUGAACGGGAACAGCGUGUGUUCGCUUUUUCUGGAGCUGCUGUACCAAACUGUGCAGCCAAAAGUCUGUUUUUAGAAAAGAAACAAGCAAAAUUAUCGUAGCUUGAUUUGGAAUAAAGUGCAAUUGGAUUCCAGAACCGGAUAUAAACAAAGCCUGAUAGAGAAAGUCGAUGCUUGGCGCAUGUGCUGUGGCAGCAGAUCUUUGUUUUUGUUUUAAUUUGGUUCCUUUCACUGCAACGAAGAUACUGUCAGCAUAGACUACAAAGAAUAAAACUCUACGAGACAUUGUCAUAUAAUCAAUAAUUAAUAAAUCUGUAACAGUUCCUCAGGAUGUCAGUGGGCUUGGAAAAACUUGAGAGAGUUGAAGACAUGGCACGGACUGAUGCAAGUUCUGAAAGACUGUGCAUUCAAUCAAGUGAAGGCGGUGAACAGGAUUCAUUUAAAGAUUUGAAACUAGCUUCCCAGACAAUACUAGAAACGCUCCAACAAAAUGGUCGAUCAAAAUGUCCAAAAUGCCUGAGUUCAAGGAUGUUUUACUGUUACUCAUGUUGUCUUUUGGUAGAUGGUGUGAAUUCUGAUGAGAUACCUCAGGUGAAGCUCCCUUUGAAGAUUGAUAUUAUCAAACAUCCCAAUGAAACUGAUGGCAAAAGUACUGCUGUACAUGCAAAGCUGUUGGCUCGGGAUGAUGUUAAUAUUUACACAUAUCCUUGCAUGCCAGAUAAUGAGGAGGAAAAGCAUGAAGUUGUAGUGGUGUUCCCCGGUCCAAAGUCAGUUUCCUUUGAAGAUCUUCCCAAGCAUUUGUCUAAGCUUGCUAAUGAAAAAUCCGCUCUUUUGAAACAUUCCUCUAAGAAUGUUCGCAGCCGCGAUGAGAGCAUUACAUUGGAAGAACCAGAACAUAAACGUGCAAAAUAUGACCAUAAAGACCAAGGCAGUUCAGAGGAGCGGGAUUUUGGACAGGCAAAGACAAAAAUAUCUCCAUUAAAAAGAGUGAUAUUUAUUGACAGUACCUGGAAUCAAACCAACAAAAUAAUUACUGAUGAACGUCUUCAAGAAUUACUUCAUGUUGAACUAAGAACACGGAAGACAUGCUUUUGGCGUUGCCAGAAAGGAAAGCCGGACACAUAUCUCGCUACAAUUGAGGCUAUUUAUUAUUUUUUAGUUGAUUAUCAUCAACUGCUUUUGAAUGAGAACUACAAUGGGGAAUAUGACAAUUUAUUGUUUUUCUAUUCAUUCAUGUACAGAUUAAUCAACAGAGCUAAACUUGCAGCUGGAAAAUUGAACUGAAGUGAAAAAAUGACACUCUUUUCUGGCAGAAUGGCUAGAGAAGAAGCCAAGAAAAGAACUAAUUGUCCACAGAGCUGCACCCCCUGCCAAGUAUUGACCUCCAAUGAGGUAACCCAGUGUUCCCAAGAUCCAAAUAUCAUGCUCAGGUGGACCGAUCAAGAAUGAUACUGAAGUACCACGACAAACAUAGAGCAUCCUGGAGAAGCUCAAUAGAUCUGGCAGCAUCCAUGAAGAGAGAUACAGUAUUAAUAUUUGACUCUGUUAUGACUUCUUCAGAACUGAAAAGUGAUGGAAUUUUUGUUAAAAAAUGAUAUGGAUUAGUAUACAAUGGCACCAUGUUUGUUUUAGAUGUUUGGCAUGCACAGUAUUUUGCUUUUGAGUAGCACUGUUAAAUCUGAUUUUGAACUUUAUUACCCAAAUUUAUUGGUUGUACACCAAGCUCAACAUCAUAGAUUGAUUUGGAUGUGAAAUCUUCUGGGCUCAACAUAUUUAGCAGAUGUGCAUAAUGCUAGAGUUUAUUUUUAAAAAAUCUUGUCUUUUUAGUUAUUUUCUUCCAUUUGUACUAGCCUUUGCUAGUUCGCAUAUCUACUUUUCACAGAGUAAUUUCUACUACUCUUAAAUGUGGGAGGUUAGGGGUGGAUAUGUCUAAACAUGAAUAGGUAAUACCUGUCAUACAUCUGAAAGUCAUUAUCUAAGCAUUAAUUUCUAACUGUUGUCAGAUUCAGGAAAUGUUAAAAUAGUUAAUUCAUUGUGAAAUCGUGUAUAGAAAGCAAAAUCUAAAUGCUGGGAAAGGUAUUUUUAAAAUCUCCCAAGGAAAUGUUAGUCCACAUUUGUAAAAGUUAAUUUUCUGUGCCAGAUAUUGUUUGGCUUUAUUAAAAAUUACAUUUUUAAAAGAAAACCCUGACACGAUGGUAAUAGAUAAAAUCCAACAUUUUCUGGCAUAUCCACUAGCUAUCUAAUGGUAAGUACAGCAAAUUCACACUGUUUCCUAUGUUCAAUGCUGAUUCUCUUUACAAGAUACUAAUAAAGCUAAGUCUCUGGGGACUUCAUCACCAGAAUUUGCUAUACCAAUUUAUUAUUUAAUAAUGUUGAGUACUUGUUGUUUGUACUGCAAAACCUGGACUGUUAUCAUCUUCAACAGUGUCCGAUGUAAAACAAAUGCACUGGUGAGUCAUAGAGGGAAGAAGCAAUUAUGUACAAUGUACAACAUCUGCUUGGCUUGGUAUGGUUUUGUGGAUUAUGUUGUUAAUUAUGUGUUUUGGUCUUUCCAUUUAACCUUUAAUAAAACAAAGCUGAGCUUAAAUA